GCACAGGUUCCUCAGGCACAAGACUCUGCAGGCUAUUUUGGUUGGUCCUGCCAUGAAGAUUACUGCAAAUCCACUGAGGAAAAAAACCAAGGAGGCAUCAGAAGCUAAUAUUGGUGACGAGAAGGAUAAAAGCAGAAACCCAGCAACAAAUACUUUGCAUGUUUGAGUGAGAGACUUGAAACUUUCCCCAGCUUGGAAGAGGGUGCAGAGCAAUCAGAAAAUCUGCACAAGAAGAAAAUGAAGCCAGCACUUUCAUUCAGAAGUUCGUAGCAGACCCUUCUUUGCACCUGCCAUCUCUGUGCAGACAGGUACUAAAAUUCACGUCUAACUGUGUCAGAAAUACUGCAUUCAGCUGUCUCAGCUUCUGUCACAGGCAUAGC
rnacentral:lncRNA from 1 species